AGCAAAAGCACUUUUAAAAUGAGUUAAGUGGAAGACGAACAGACAAAUGAGGUAACUUCUAUAAAGAUGGAGGUUGCUUCUGGCUCAUCAGCCAUCGUUGAUGGUAACCAGUCCUACAAUUCUCAUUAGGCAGUUCUGUUACCCCACUAUUUCCUUGGGGUCUGUUGUGCUAAGGACAGGAUUGGUUGGGUAAAGGGGUGUGGCACAAAUAACCCUCAGGAAUACAGGCCACAGAGCUAAUGAAGGGCCCCAAGGAAAGAAAGACCUGCCCAUCAGCGAUGAAUUCUCUCCCCCAGUGCCACAGACCUGAGGGCACGUGACCCAGGAAUGUGCAUCCAAAGAUAAUACUACCUUCAGAGAACUCUACUUAUAGGCUGUGGUUUUUCAAGAAAAAGGAAAAGAUUCAUAAUUCAUUGAGCUCUUUCCUUGUGAGAAGAAAGGCCACUCUUUUGUGUGCUGAAGUUGGACAACAGUUCCCAAGGAAGCUGAAUUCUAGCUGUUUAUUGUUAUUGGGUUUUGCACUAUGCCCUUUAUGUUGUCAUUAAUCAAUAAAUACGUGUGGAACAAAUGAUUAACUAGAUGGUGAAAUUGAAUCACUGAAGCAGCUGAGGCAGAGAGCUUUUCCUUCAGGAUUCACGGCCUAUUUCUCAGUUCUGGGAAGACAACUCUAACAACUCAACAGAGUGAAGAGAGAUAAAGAUGUUGGGAAUGACUGAUUUCAAACAAUCAAAACUGCUUUGGGGAUGAGGAUGAAGUUGGGACAUUACUGCCUUGUAUACCACAUACUAUAAUAUUUAUUAUGUCUAUUGUUUAUUGUGUGUGUCCUUCUUUAGAAUUUUAACUCCCCAAGGGCAAAGAUCCCUGACUGUUUUGCUUAUCAAUGUAUCCAAAAGGCCUAAAACAGAGCCUUGUACCCUAUACACACUCUGCAAAUAUUUGCUGAAUUGAAUAAAAGGCUGCCGAUCUAUAAA
rnacentral:lncRNA from 1 species